CACUCUUUGUACUCUCAUGUUAUUGUUUACUCCAAAUUGCUAGAGACUAGCAAUAAGCUAGUUAGGGGGGUAUGAUGAGAGCACAAAAGUGUGAUCUACAUACCACUUAAAUUAGUCUUAUUGUUAACAGAUGAUGAUAAUAUCGUCGAGUUAAAUUGUAUUUUGUGUUUCGCAUAGUCUUAUCGUAAAUCAAAGAUAAAAUGCACAUUUGGUACAUGUUUGGUUCAGGAAGAUGCUUAACGCAAGCUGUGCGCACCCGAUCUCGCCAUAGCCUAGUCGAACCCAUCAUUUAUCAAACUCACAAUUAUGGGCAGCAGCCAGGCUUGACCAUAUUAGAGCGACACUUAGCAACCAUCCACAUGGAAUGCACCAGAAACAUCCGAAGCCCAUCCUUCUGCAUCAGUCUGCAUCCCAAAACACCCAAA
rnacentral:lncRNA from 1 species